GAUGAACGCUGGCGGCGUGCUUAACACAUGCAAGUCGAACGGAGAUAACAUUUUCGAAGCGAUUAGUUUACUAAGAGCGGAGAUGUUGCUAUCUUAGUGGCGGACGGGUGAGUAACGCGUGGGUAACCUGCCUUACACUGGGGGAUAACACUUAGAAAUAGGUGCUAAUACCGCAUAACAGAGGGAGUCGCAUGACUUCGUCUUAAAAACUCCGGUGGUGUAAGAUGGACCCGCGUCUGAUUAGCUUGUUGGCGGGGUAACGGCCCACCAAGGCGACGAUCAGUAGCCGGCCUGAGAGGGUGAACGGCCACAUUGGGACUGAGACACGGCCCAA
rnacentral:rRNA from 1 species